UACGAAGGGGGCGAGCGUUGUUCGGAUUUACUGGGCGUAAAGGGCGCGCAGGCGGCCUAUUUUGUCAGGCGUGAAAGCCCCGGGCUCAACCUGGGAACUGCGGUUGAAACUGGCGAACUAGAAUCUGGCAGAGGGGGGUGGAAUUCCACGUGUAGCAGUGAAAUGCGUAGAGAUGUGGAGGAACACCGAUGGCGAAGGCAGCCCCCUGGGCUGAGAUUGACGCUCAGGCACGAAAGCGUGGGGAGCAAACAGG
rnacentral:rRNA from 1 species